rnacentral:rRNA from 1 species
AUGAGCUUAGGAGAUGUAAAUUUGUACCGUCUUUCCAGCGAGCCUAUGGUGAAUUUCAUGUUCGUUGACUGCAUUAGGAAUGGUGAACACGGGGCGAUAGAAGAACAGGCGGACCACCAACAAUUGCCAGGUCCUGUGGAUGCACCUGAGGAUGCUUCCAAGGAGAACAUUAGCCCCACUAAGGAAUCUGAUGAGGUUGAAGAUAAUGGGGAGGUACCACUGAAGUUCAGAAACUACCUUCCUCAUGAUGAGCGGCUCCGAGGUGGCAAGGUGGCACCGCUGUCUCUUCCCAAGUUUGAAGAUCCGAUCGCUGCUGAUGCUGCCGAGCCAAAGCAGCUCGAGAACCCCUUCGGGAACAUCGCCCCAAAGAACCCGAACUGGGACCUGAAACGUGACGUCCAGAAGAGGAUCGACAAGCUGGAGAAGCGCACCCAGAAAGCUCUGGCAGAGAUUGCAUUGGAACAGCAAAAGGAGAAAGAUGCGCUGGAGGAGGGGAGCGAUGGAGCUCAAGAGUGA